CCCGGCCCGAACGUGUAAGAAGCUGGGCCUUCAUUUCGGCCCAGGACCGAAUAAGGUGGGCUUCCGGUCCACGAUGACUGGAAGCCCAGCCCA
rnacentral:sRNA from 1 species